GGUUAAUGUCGUUCGAGUCACACCUUCACGGCUUUAUCAGGUAUAACAGCCCAAAGAGACGAGGAUGGCAGACAUUUAGUGAAACCCAGGAACAUCAGUAUGAUACUGACAAACCCAGGAACAUCAGUAUGAUGCUGACAAACCAAGGAGCAUCAUCAGAAAUGUUCGUCCUGGCAGGAAAAAGGGCUCAGACUAUGCACAGUGAAUUCCAGCAGCUUAAACGUUUGGGCAAAGCUGAUGAUGUUAGAGAAUCCCUUAAUUAUGUUAAUGCAGGUCCUGCUUCCAUGUUGACACACGGUCCUUGUCAGAUGCUGCUAUAAAUGCCUUCACUACUGCAGAAUUUCAAAGGAGCUUUACAGAGAAAGGCGAGUUCUCGGGGUUGCGAAUGAUGACAGGGAUUCAGAGACAAAAACUAACAUGAUUAGUCCAAUAUUCAGCGUUAGAAAUUGGCACUAGUCCUGUAGUCCUUGCCAAACUGCCCAAUGGUAAAGGUAUCAUAGGACUAGUAGAAAUUUGUCCUUUUUGCUAUAUGUUUUCACUAUAAGGACUAGUGGAUGAAAGCUGUUAGUUUCUAACCCUGAUAUUCCUUAUGAUAACAUAAAGAUAACACUUCUAAUCAUCCUCGCGAUACCUUAACUACUGGGCAGAUUGGUAAGAGCUUUAGGACUAGUGCCAAUUUCUAUGGCUGGGGGACUAAGGCCCUAUAUCGUGUCUUUAGGUGUGGGUAUGUGUCAUACUUAGUAAGGCUAAAACAAAUAAUAAUCUUGGUUCUCAGGCACCGUGCACAUCAACAUAAAGUCUGCCACAUGUUUCGUUUAUAUUUCCAUU